rnacentral:tRNA from 1 species
UAGGUGAAUGCUCGCGGGUUGGAGCGCUUAGCUGUUAACUAAGAGUUUGGAGGAUCGAGGCCUCCUCAUCUAG